rnacentral:rRNA from 1 species
ACUGCUAUCGGAUGAUACUAAGCCACGCGAGUCAUUGUAGCAAUACAAGGCAUACGGCUCAGUAACGCGUAGUCAACCUACCCUAUGGACGGGAAUAACCUCGGGAAACUGAGUAUAAUGCCCGAUAGAACAUUAUGCCUGGAAGGGUUUAUGUUCCAAAUGAUUUAUCGCCGUAGGAUGGGACUGCGGCCUAUCAGUUUGUUGGUGAGGUAAUGGCCCACCAAGACUAUUACAGGUACGGGCUCUGAGAGGAGUAGCCCGGAGAUGGGUACUGAGACACGGACCCAGGCCCUAUGGGGCGCAGCAGGCGAGAAAACUUUGCAAUGUGCGAAAGCACGACAAGGUUAAUCCGAGUGGUUUCUGCUAAAGGAACCUUUUGUUAGUCCUAAAAACACUAACGAAUAAGGGGUGGGCAAGUUCUGGUGUCAGCCGCCGCGGUAAAACCAGCACCUCAAGUGGUCAGGAUGAUUAUUGGGCCUAAAGCAUCCGUAGCCUGCCCUGUAAGUUUUCGGUUAAAUCUGUAUGCUCAACAUACAGGCCGCCGGGAAUACUGCAGGGCUAGGGAGUGGGAGAGGUAGACGGUACUCGGGAGGAAAUGGUAAAAUGCUUUGAUCUCUCGAUGACCACCUGUGGCGAAGGCGGUCUACCAGAACACGUCCGACGGUGAGGGAUGAAAGCUGGGGGAGCAAACCGGAUUAGAUACCCGGGUAGUCCCAGCCGUAAACUAUGCAAACUCAGUGAUGCAUUGGCUUUUGGCCAAUGCAGUG